GACGAACGCUGGCGGCGUGCCUAAUACAUGCAAGUAGAACGCUGAAGGAGGAGCUUGCUUCUCUGGAUGAGUUGCGAACGGGUGAGUAACGCGUAGGUAACCUGCCUUGUAGCGGGGGAUAAUUAUUGGAAACGAUAGCUCAUACCGCAUAAUAGUAGAUGUUGCAUGACAUUUGCUUAAAAGGUGCAAUUGCCUCAUUACUAGAUGGCACUGCGUUGUAUUAGUUAGUUGUUGGGGUUACGGCUCACCAAGGCGAAGAUACAUAGCCGACCUGAGAGGGGUGGCGGCCACACUGGUAAUGAGACACGGCCCCGACUCCUACGGGAGGCAGCAGUAGUGAAGCUUCGGCAAUAGACGGAAGUCUGACCGAGAAACGCCACGUGAGUGAAGAAGGUCUCCGGAUCGUAAAGAUCUGUAGUAAGAGGAGAACGAGUGUGAGAGUGGAAAGUUCACUCUGUGACGGUAUCUUACCAGAAAGGAACGGCUAACUACGUG
rnacentral:rRNA from 1 species